AGACAGCAGCAGCCGCGGGAAUACGGAGGGUGCAAGCGUUAAUCGGAAUUACCGGGCGUAAAGCGCACGCAGGCGGUCUGACAAGUCAGAUGUGAAAUCCCCGGGCUUAACCUGGGAACUGCAUUUGAAACUGUCAGGCUGGAGUCUUGUAGAGGGGGGUGGAAUUCCAGGUGUAGCGGUGAAAUGCGUAGAGAUCUGGAGGAAUACCGGUGGCGAAGGCGGCCCCCUGGACAAAGACUGACGCUCAGGUGCGAAAGCGUGGGGAGCAAACAGGAUUAGAUACCCGCGUAGUCCCUGUCUCUUAUAC
rnacentral:rRNA from 1 species